CCUACGGGAGGCAGCAGUGAGGAAUAUUGGUCAAUGGCCGAGAGGCUGAACCAGCCAAGUCGCGUGAGGGAAGACGGCCCUACGGGUUGUAAACCUCUUUUGUCGGGGAGCAAAGCGAGUCACGUGUGACUCAUUGAGAGUACCCGAAGAAAAAGCAUUGGCUAACUCCGUGCCAGCAGCCGCGGUAAUACGGAGGAUGCGAGCGUUAUCCGGUUUGAUUGGGGUUAAAGGGUGCGCAGGGGGAGGUGCAAGUCAGCGGGAAAAUUUCGGGGCUCAACCCCGUACUGCCGUUGAAACUGCAUCCCUUGAGUGCGCGAGAAGUAUGCGGAAUGCGUGGUGUAGCGGUGAAAGGCAUAGAUAUCACGCAGAACUCCGAUUGCGAAGGCAGCAUACCGGCGCGCAACUGACGCUCAUGCACGAAAGCGUGGGUAUCGAACAGGAUUAGAACCCUUGUAGUC
rnacentral:rRNA from 1 species